AUUGAACGCUGGCGGCAGGCUUAACACAUGCAAGUCGAGCGAGCGGCGGACGGGUGAGUAAUGUCUGGGGAACUGCCUGAUGGAGGGGGAUAACUACUGGAAACGGUAGCUAAUACCGCAUACUAUCAGAUGUGCCCAGAUGGGAUUAGCUAGUAGGUGGGGUAAAGGCUCACCUAGGCGACGAUCCCUAGCUGGUCUGAGAGGAUGACCAGCCACACUGGAACUGAGACACGGCCCAGACUCCUACGGGAGGCAGCAGUGGGGAAUAUUGCACAAUGGGCGCAAGCCUGAUACAGCCAUGCCGCGUGUGUGAAGAAGGCCUUCGGGUUGUAAAGUACUUUCAGCGAGGAGGCGUUACUCGCAGAAGAAGCACCGGCUAACUCCGUGCCAGCAGCCGCGGUAAUAC
rnacentral:rRNA from 1 species